UGAAUGGUACCAAAAAAAAAAUGUGA
rnacentral:piRNA from 1 species